rnacentral:tRNA from 1 species
GAGCCUGAGGCGCAGCGCGUCAGUCUCAUAAUCUGAAGGUCGUGAGUUCGAGCCUCACCGGGAGCA